AAUAUUUACAGAUAAAAAAAGAUAAAAGCAUUGUGUGAAGACAGCAAAAGAAAACUGGAAGCACAAAAAGGAACUGAAUUGUUUUUUAAAAUAACCUAAGGCAUAGUUUUUAUAAAACAAUCAAAAUAUUAGCUGUCUGAAUAUGAAGAGCAGCCUUUUUGGACCACUUGUUCUUCUCAUUUUCAUAAGCAUAAAGGCAUCUGCUUCUAGACAUUACAUUGUCUUCAACCAUGGUUUGACUUGGAAUGAAGCACACGAUUUCUGCAAGAGCCAUUACACCAAUUUGGCCACCUUCCUCACCCAGUCAGAGGUGGAGAGUUUGGACUUGAAAGAAUAUCUGGUGUGGAUCGGCCUAUACAAAUAUCAUUCCUACUGGUGGACAUGGUCUAAUGAACAUACAUAUAUUUAUCGUUAUUCAAACUGGAGAUGGAAGGAUCUACGCAUGUGGGGAUCUUGUGCUGCUGUUAACUUCAGAGACAAAAUAUUUCACAUACAAAAUUGUCAAACUCGUCUGAUGUUUGUCUGUCAGCGUGAUGAUGCAUACACAUUUGUAACAGAAGCAAAGACUUGGCUUGAGGCGCUUGAGUACUGUAGGCUUCAGCAUGGUGAUUUAGCCCGCUUCCGAACUUCCAGUAUGAACGACAUAUUCACUGAGUUGGACUUUCCCUGCUGGACUGGACUGCGGA